ensembl:lncRNA
AUGGGUGAAAAUUUAAGUGUUGGUACAUGUGGUGAUACAUACAUGGGUGGUACAUAUAUGGGUGGUACAUAUAUGGGUGGUACAUAUAUGGGUGGUACAUAUAUGGGUGGUACAUGUGCAAAUACAGGAACAGGUACAGGUACAGGAACAAGUACAGGAACAAGUACAGGAACAAGUACAGAUACAGAUAUAGGUACAUGGAUGAUAGAUACAGGAAUAUAUCCUGAACAAAAAUUUCAACAAAUAAUUGAUUCGAAUGUAUUACAACUUUUAAUAUAUGCCUCUUUUUUAAUUCAAAAUAAAUUAGAUAAUAACAUUUUUUUAAAAACGUAUCAUACAUCUAUUAGAAUAAAAAAUAAUAGUUGUAUGUAUUGGGGUGUUAAUCCUAAUAGUAAAAUAGUUUUAGAAAUUGUUCGUAAUAAUAAUACAUAUGUAUCAAAAAAAAUACGUAUUAAUCAAGUAUGUAUAAAUAAAAAAAUAAUAUUAAUGAAUAAGGAUAAAAAAAGGUAUAUAUUUUUAUCUAUGAGUAUAACAUUAAAUCCCAAUGUAUAUAAUACCAAAAUAAUUACUUUUACCAAUAGAUACACAAUUGUUAAUAAUACAAAUUGUAUUUUAUACGUUCAGGAAGUGAAAAAGGAGUUUAGCAUUAUAACAAAAGAAAAAAAUUACAACCAUGAUGGUAUGGACAACAACCAUGAUGGUGUACAUAACAACCAUAAUAAUAAAUCAGAGAAUAAACACAAUAAAAAUGUUAAUUUAAAAAAAAAAUCUAAAAAGGAUGAUGCUGUACUUAAACAAAGGGUAAGUAGUGUAGAACAAGUAAUGUUAGAAAGUAGUGAUUAUUGUGGUGCUGAGUGUGAUGAGGGGGGGGAGGAUAUAAAUAAUAAAGUUUGUUUAUCUAUCGAGGGAGGAGGAGAAGGAGGAGAAGGAGAAGAAGGAGGAGAAGGAGAAGAAGGAGGAGAAGGAGAAGGAAGAGGAACAUUCUUAACUAAUAAUUUAAGUCAUUUACCUAAAGAAACAAAACAUAUUAAAAAUUUUAGUAUUAUAAAAAUAAAACCAUUUAGUACAUACCACUAUCAUCCUAUAAAUGCACAUAAAUGCUAUUUGAAAUUCUCAUAUGUUAAUAUAAAUCAAUGCACCAAUGAAGAAUCAUUUACAAAUAGAAUAAAUAGUUAUAAUUAUUUUAAAAAAAAAAGAAAAGAAAUUGAUUAUAUUUAUACUAAUUAUUUAUGGAAAAAAAUGUUAAAACAUAAAAAAAAUUAUUUUAUUUUAAAUGAAAAAAAAAAAGAAAAAAAAAAUAUAUAUAUGGAAAAAUUAGAAUUGUAUAAUCUUUUUUAUACAAGUUCAAUAGAAAUUGAGAAAAUAAGUCAUACCAAGAUAUUACACAAGACGUUAACAAAGAUGGACGUGAUGGGUAGUGACAGUAGUGGUAAUGGCACUAGCGACAGUAGUAGUAGUAGUAGUAGUAGUAGUAGUANNNNNNNNNNAGUAGUAGUAGUAGUAGUAGUAGUAGUAGUACUAGCAAAAGUAGUAGUAACCAUCAUAUAA